rnacentral:rRNA from 1 species
GGCCUAACACAUGCAAGUCGAACGAGAUUAAGGGGCUUGCUCCUUAUGAAAGUGGCGCACGGGUGCGUAACGCGUAUGCAACCUACCUUAAUCAGGGGGAUAGCCCGAAGAAAUUCGGAUUAACACCGCAUAAAAACACAGAGCAGCAUUGCUCAAUGUUCAAAUAUUUAUAGGAUUAAGAUGGGCAUGCGUGUCAUUAGCUAGUUGGCGGGGUAACGGCCCACCAAGGCGACGAUGACUAGGGGAUCUGAGAGGAUGACCCCCCACACUGGUACUGAGACACGGACCAGACUCCUACGGGAGGCAGCAGUAAGGAAUAUUGGUCAAUGGAGGGAACUCUGAACCAGCCAUGCCGCGUGCAGGAAGACGGCCCUCUGGGUUGUAAACUGCUUUUAUUCGGGAAUAAACCACAUUACGUGUAGUGUGCUGAAUGUACCGAAGGAAUAAGGA